GUGGGGAAUAUUGGACAAUGGGCGAAAGCCUGAUCCAGCCAUGCCGCGUGUGUGAAGAAGGUCUUCGGAUUGUAAAGCACUUUAAGUUGGGAGGAAGGGCAGUAAGUUAAUACCUUGCUGUUUUGACGUUACCAACAGAAUAAGCACCGGCUAACUUCGUGCCAGCAGCCGCGGUAAUACGAAGGGUGCAAGCGUUAAUCGGAAUUACUGGGUGUAAAGCGCGCGUAGGUGGUUCAGCAAGUUGAAGGUGAAAUCCCCGGGCUCAACCUGGGAACUGCCUCCAAAACUACUGAGCUAGAGUACGGUAGAGGGUAGUGGAAUUUCCUGUGUAGCGGUGAAAUGCGUAGAUAUAGGAAGGAACACCAGUGGCGAAGGCGACUACCUGGACUGAUACUGACACUGAGGUGCGAAAGCGUGGGGAGCAAACAGGAUUAGAUACCGAGUAGUCC
rnacentral:rRNA from 1 species